rnacentral:tRNA from 1 species
GGUGGGGUUCCGGAGCGGUCAAACGGGGCAGACUGUAAAUCUGCUAGCUAUGCUUUCGGUGGUUCGAAUCCACCCCCCACCA